UCCCUGUGAAAACAAGUAGAAUUAAGGAGAUGAGGAGGAAAAUACUCCUCCUCUGGGCUUGAUACUGAUGACCAUUUUGCUUUUUUUAUCUUUUCAAGUAAGAUGAAAGGAAACCUUCCUGUACAAGGGAAGCCAUUAUCUAUGGUCUAACAAUCUCUCUUCCCUUGCCAGUUUCUGGCUACUGGUCAACCCCCAUGACACACAAAAAAUGUUGCCCAGUGAUCUUGAAUCACAUGAAAUACGGCAUAACUAACCAGAAUAUUACAUUUGCAGGGUCCGGAAUUGGUGUUCCCCAUGAUACAGCCAGGUUAGAUGCCUUGAAAAUGUGGCACAUUUGCCCAAACAUAAAAGUAAUUCAUUAGUUCCAGAACCAGCCCUGACCUGACAACCAGGCCCUAGAGAGAACAGCUCUGGACCUGUCAGCUCCUCUCCUGGCUCUCUGGCUCUCCUCUCAGAACUCGUGGGGUAAGUAAGGGGAGGGAGGUUGUCUCUCCCCAGAGAACUCAUGCAGUCCGGGGGGCGAGGUGCCGAGGCAUAUGCAGCUAGGGAGAAAAGGUUGGAGCCAGAAAGCACUGAAACAAAAGUUAAAUCAAGUCAGCUCCCCUGCCACGUAGGGCAGGGGAGAGGAUGGUCAGGACCUGGGUGUCCAGCCUUCAGAAGGUCCAGCUGACAGGUCCCUGACCACCAUCCACCCCCCCCCCCCCAGCGAUGGUGGCUUGGGCCUGUCACCCUGGCACAUCGCUAGCUUAAAAAAAAAAUACACUGGAGUUUGAGGGAAGAAAAACUAUCCAGAAACCAGGAGGAAACAGAACAGAGCUAAGGCACUGUGGUACUGGCCUGUAGGAGGGGAGGAGUACACCAGCAAUUAGUGCAUGCCAUAGCCCCAGGUUGUGGUGAGAGAGACAAUAAUCUUAGCCUUGGGCCUAGUUAUAUAAAAUAAUUGGCUUUUUGAGGUCAGGGAUUGUGUCUCCUAGCUCUCAAGCUCUCUUGUGAUCUUAGUACAAUGCCCUGCAGGUAGGAGGCUUUCAAUAAAUAUUAUUGAUUGUAAAACACUUGGGGAAGUCAGCUUCAAGAGUGACUGAAUCCUUUAAAAGGCAUUUUAGCACACAGAGACUUAUCUUCCCUGAGUGAACAUUCUGUCAUAGGGAAUAAAUGUCUCCAGGGGAUUUUUUUUUUUAUUAAAAAAAAGGCAGUCUUACCAGUAGCAGAGAUGGCUUUGUAAUGCAAAUAAAUAUUCAUUAAAACUUUCGAUGGGUUUUUCCUGCAGGACGUAGUCAAUGCGCCGGCCCCCGUUCAGCAUGCCCACGUUGAUAGGUGCAA